rnacentral:lncRNA from 1 species
AUAUGGGGCACAACCUCGAUUCUGAGCAGGGAGGAGUCCCUGGCCCUGAAGGGAUUCCAACAACCUCACUAAGUGAGGUUAAUUAUCCUGGAAUGUAAGGAACCCCACAGAACCUUACUCCUGCUCUCAGCCCUGGGAGGACCCGAACACAGCGGGGGGAGCAGACGAGGAGCAGAAGCGGAAGGAACGUCCUUUAACCUCUGGUUUCAAAGUUCGUCGCGAAGGCUGGUACUGAAAGGCGUGGCGUCUAUGGGCAAAAGGAGAAGUCCUACGACUGGUCAAGAGUCUGAGUGUAGCCUCCAGUCAGCUGAGGAGGAAUCCCAGCCUCUACCACAGUCAAGUAAAAAGAUGGAGAGCUCGUGGUGAGACACGGAACUACAAGACAGAAGCAGCCUACGUCUCUGUGUCACCAGUUAGCAAAGAUGCACAUCAAAUUUUAUGUGCACAAGAAAUAAACUUUUGUUAAGUCA